rnacentral:rRNA from 1 species
CGUGCGGGAUGAAGGCCUUCGGGUUGUAAACCGCUUUCAGCAGGGAAGAAGCGAAAGUGACGGUACCUGCAGAAGAAGCACCGGCUAACUAUGUGCCAGCAGCCGCGGUAAUACAUAGGGUGCAAGCGUUGUCCGGAAUUAUUGGGCGUAAAGAGCUCGUAGGUGGUUCGUCACGUCGGAUGUGAAAAUCUGGGGCUUAACCCCAGACCUGCAUUCGAUACGGGCGAGCUAGAGUGUGGUAGGGGAGACUGGAAUUCCUGGUGUAGCGGUGGAAUGCGCAGAUAUCAGGAGGAACACCAAUGGCGAAGGCAGGUCUCUGGGCCAUUACUGACACUGAGGAGCGAAAGCGUGGGGAGCGAACAGGAUUAGAUACCCUGGUAGUCCACGCCGUAAACGGUGGGCACUAGUUGUGGGAACCUUCCACGGUUUCUGCGGCGCAGCUAACGCAUUAAGUGCCCCGCCUGGGGAGUACGAUCGCAAGAUUAAAACUCAAAGGAAUUGACGGGGCCCCGCACAAGCAGCGGAGCAUGCGGCUUAAUUCGACGCAACGCGAAGAACCUUACCAAGGCUUGACAUAUACAGAAAUAUGGCAGAGAUGUCAUAGCCGCAAGGUCUGUAUACAGGGUGGUGCAUGGUUGUCGUCAGCUCGUGUCGCGAGAUGUUGGGGUUAAGU